GACGAACGCUGGCGGCGUGCUUAACACAUGCAAGUCGAGCGGUAAGGCCCUUCGGGGUACACGAGCGGCGAACGGGUGAGUAACACGUGAGCAAUCUGCCCUUCUCUUUGGAAUAACCAUUGGAAACGAUGGCUAAUGCCGAAUAUGAACCCCCUUCGCAUGUUGGGGGUUGGAAAGCUCCGGCGGAGAUGGAUGAGCUCGCGGCCUAUCAGCUUGUUGGUGAGGUAAUGGCUCACCGAGGCAUUGACGGGUAGCCGGCCUGAGAGGGUGACCGGCCACACUGGGACUGAGACACGGCCCAGACUCCUACGGGAGGCAGCAGUGGGGAAUAUUGGACAAUGGGCGAAAGCCUGAUCCAGCAACGCCGCGUGAGGGAUGACGGCCUUCGGGUUGUAAACCUCUUUCAGCAGGGACGAAGCGAGAGUGACGGUACCUGCAGAAGAAGGACCGGCCAACUACGUGCCAGCAGCCGCGGUAAUACGUAGGGUCCGAGCGUUGUCCGGAAUUAUUGGGCGUAAAGGGCUCGUAGGCGGUUUGUCGCGUCGGGAGUGAAAACUCAGGGCUCAACCCUGAGCGUGCUUCCGAUACGGGCAGACUAGAGGUAUUCAGGGGAGAACGGAAUUCCUGGUGUAGCGGUGGAAUGCGCAGAUAUCAGGAGGAACACCGGUGGCGAAGGCGGUUCUCUGGGAAUUACCUGACGCCGAGGAGCGAAAGCAUGGGGAGCGAACAGGAUUAGAUACCCUGGUAGUCCAUGCCGUAAACGUUGGGCGCUAGGUGUGGGGACCUUCCACGGUUUCCGUGCCGCAGCUAACGCAUUAAGCGCCCCGCCUGGGGAGUACGGCCGCAAGGCUAAAACUCAAAGGAAUUGACGGGGGCCCGCACAAGCGGCGGAGCAUGCUGAUUAAUUCGAUGCAACGCGAAGAACCUUACCUGGGUUUGACAUAUGCCGGAAAGCUGCAGAGAUGUGGCCUCCUUUUGGCCGGUAUACAGGUGGUGCAUGGCUGUCGUCAGCUCGUGUCGUGAGAUGUUGGGUUAAGUCCCGCAACGAGCGCAACCCUCGUUCUAUGUUGCCAGCACGUAAUGGUGGAGACUCAUAGGAGACUGCCGGGGUCAACUCGGAGGAAGGUGGGGAUGACGUCAAGUCUUCAUGCCCCUUAUGUCCAGGGCUUCAAGCAUGCUACAAUGGCCGGUACAAAGGGCUGCGAAACUGUAAGGUGGAGCGAAUCCCAAAAAGCCGGUCUCAGUUCGGAUUGGGGUCUGCAACUCGACCCCAUGAAGUCGGAGUCGCUAGUAAUCGCAGAUCAGCAACGCUGCGGUGAAUACGUUCCCGGGCCU
rnacentral:rRNA from 1 species